GACGAACCGUGCGAACGUUAUUCGGAAUUACUGGGCUUAAAGCGCGUGUAGGCGGAUCGCCACGUCGGCUGCUGAAAUCCCCCGGCUCAACCGGGGAACGGGCACCGAUACGGGCGGUCUCGAGGGGGGUAGGGGGACCUGGAACUUCCGGUGGAGCGGUGAAAUGCGUUGAGAUCGGAAGGAACGCCCGUGGCGAAAGCGAGGUCCUGGACCCUUUCUGACGCUGAGACGCGAAAGCCAGGGGAGCGAACGGG
rnacentral:rRNA from 1 species